CGGGGGCCGUUCUUGGAGGCCAGGGGCGGGUCAGAGAAGCGGUCAGUACGGGCGACGCCCUGGAACCAGCGGGCAGCGACUGCGGCCACAGGUGCCUCGCAGGGCAUCGUGUCCCCGCUGUGGGCAUCAAAACUCCGGCUCUAGGAACUCAGACUUCCGAGCUGUCCCCAUCUCUGGACACCGCCCAGGCCUCCGGGCCGGAGAGCGGAACCCUGGGGUCGUCCGAAGAGUGGGGCCCAGAGCCCCCGGUGUCAGACAUCGAAGUCCCUGGGCCUGUCUCAGGACAGGACACAGAGGUCGCUAGGCCAGGCGCAGAGCGGGGCGCAGAGACCCUCGAUCAAGAGAGCGAAAUCCUCUGGCCAUCAGUGGGACAGCACUCAGAGCGCCCCGGGCCGUGCACACCUGGGAGCUUUGAGAGUCUUGGGUCAGCCAGGGACGACUCCGAGCCAUUCGAAGGGAGAAACGCCGGGGUCCCGAGGCAGUGUCUACCUCAGGGUCCCGAGACUUCCUCCUUUGGGUCAGAUUCGGAAGCCCCCCAGCAGCGUUUUCCAUUGUGCCUUGAGACUCCCCAACAGCGCCCUGAGGAGCCGCUCAUGGAGACACCCAUCGAGCGCGAAAUCCGCCGCAGCUGCGAACGCGAGGAGAGCCUGCGCCGGAGCAGGGGCCUGAGUCCAGGCCGCGCGGGCCGCGAACUUGUCGAGCUGCGCGUGCGGCCAGUGCUCAGCCUGCCCAGUUCCGGCCCCGCGCUCCCGCGCGCCUUAGAGCGCGCGCGGGCAGGCGCGCAGAUGCAGCGAGACAUCGAGCGGGAGGCCCACCGGCGGGCGGCGCGGGCGCGCCCCGCAACCCCGGAGCCGCUCGCCCCGCUGCCGCCGCAGCCGCUGGGUGAGCUCAAACGCUUCUUCGAGGCUGCGGGCGGGUGCGGUUCCUCGCCGGUGGCGGAGGGCGGCGGAGGGCCGCAGUGGCUGCCCGAACGCGGAAGCCAGCCUCGCUCUGCCGUGAAGGGCCGGUGUCCGGUGCUGGCCCGCGCUCCGCGGCCCAUCGCGCCGUCACUGCUCGAGCAGGAGGUGCGCGAAGCGCAAGAGCGCGAGCGGGAGCUGCAGCGCCAGAGGCUCAGCGUCUACGGCACCGCCGAGUUCAAGGACCCCGCGCCGAGCCUCACGGGGAACCCUGUCUGGAUUCUGCCACUCCUGGAUCGUCCUGAAUUUUCGGGUUCCUACCUCCGUACUCUGUUUGCUUCCCACCUGCGUCAGAAUGGAGGGCUUCCAGCGGGAGGAGGGAGGUGAACGCCUCGAUCAGGGGCGACGGAAAGCUGGCAGUGAUCUGGCCUCCCCGCAGAAAGGCCUCCGAGAACGGCCUGGAGCAGGAGCGGAAGCCUUGAGGUUGGAGCAGGCUGAGACCCCCGACCAGAAGUAACAUGAGCGUCAGAGGACCGGGCAGGGACGCCCAGGAAUCAACCGAAGUCAACUGGAUCAACUGAAGGCCUAGAGAGGGGCUAGCCAUCUGCGCACGGGACCAGCCCAUCCUUAAACUUGACUUUGUGAAAUUGACCAGUCUCUUCUCUAAAACUUAUUCCCCAUUGGGAAACACCACCACAACUCCCCGGCCAGUGAAACUGACCAGUCCUUCUCCGCCUAACUGCAAACCCGGCAAGCCUCUCCCUCUGGCCUUGACUGUUAGAGGACCAGGGUCACCGCUCGGCUCUCCCCCCUCCCUAAUAAAAUCCCUUCUUUCUGGUCAGU